rnacentral:rRNA from 1 species
GACGAACCGUGCGAACGUUGUUCGGAAUCACUGGGCUUAAAGGGCGCGUAGGCGGGUUUUCAAGUCUGUGGUGAAAGCCUCCAGCUUAACUGGAGAAGUGCCGUGGAUACUGGAGACCUCGAGGAGGGUAGGGGCAUCUGGAACAGCCGGUGGAGCGGUGAAAUGCGUUGAUAUCGGCUGGAACUCCGAUGGCGAAGGCGGGUCUCUGGGCAGUAACUGGACGCUGAGGAGCGAAAGCGUGGGGAGCGAACAGG